AUUGAACGCUGGCGGCAGGCCUAACACAUGCAAGUCGAACGGUAACAGGAAGAAGCUUGCUUCUUUGCUGACGAGUGGCGGACGGGUGAGUAAUGUCUGGGAAACUGCCUGAUGGAGGGGGAUAACUACUGGAAACGGUAGCUAAUACCGCAUAACGUCGCAAGACCAAAGAGGGGGACCUUCGGGCCUCCUGCCAUCGGAUGUGCCCAGAUGGGAUUAGCUAGUUGGUGGGGUAACGGCUCACCAAGGCGACGAUCCCUAGCUGGUCUGAGAGGAUGACCAGCCACACUGGAACUGAGACACGGUCCAGACUCCUACGGGAGGCAGCAGUGGGGAAUAUUGCACAAUGGGCGCAAGCCUGAUGCAGCCAUGCCGCGUGUAUGAAGAAGGCCUUCGGGUUGUAAAGUACUUUCAGCGGGGAGGAAGGGAGUAAAGUUAAUACCUUUACUCAUUGACGUUACCCGCAGAAGAAGCACCGGCUAACUCCGUGCCAGCAGCCGCCGUAA
rnacentral:rRNA from 1 species